AUAGUAGAAAUAUACAGACACGUAUGUUUAAAAGUAAAAAUCUUCCUUUAUUCCUAUUACUCUCCAGUUCCACAGACUUCCCUAACAAUGGUUUGGAGGGUAUCCUUUAAGUUAGUUUUAUGCCUUUACAGAUACACGACAGACUCACACACAUGAAAAUAUAGGUGUGUGGACAGGAUCACACAACACAUGCUAUUCCGAAACUUGCAUUUUUCACUCAACAGCCAGUCUAAAAAAUUCUGUGUGAGCGCACGAAGAGCAAGCUCAACCUUCUAAAUGGCUGUCAUAAUUUUUUAACCAAUCCCCUAUCGAUUGGCCUUUACAAUGUUUUCAGUUUUUCGCUCUUAUAAACAAGACUUCAAGGAACAUCCUGACACAGUUUUCUUCGGGCAUGCGUGCUCUGGGCGUGGAGUCAGAAAAUGGAACCCCUUCCCGUUUCAGGUAUUUAAAUAUAACCGAUUCCUGAACUCUGAUGGGUCAGAGAAGAAAGACUUUUACAAGGACGGGAAACGACUGAAAAGUUGCAGCCUGCCGUGGGGAGCUGGACACAACCAGUGCAUGGGGAAGGCUUACGCCGUUAAUAGCAUCAAACAAUUCGUGUUCCUUGUGCUGGGGCACUUUGACCUGGAGCUGAUCAACGCAGACGUGGAGAUCCCUGAGUUUGACCUCAGCAGGUACGGCUUCGGGCUGAUGCAGCCGGAACACGACGUGCCCGUCCGUUACCGCGUCCGGCCGUGAGCUCCGGGAGCAGAUGGGGCUCCGCACACGUGCCUCCACCCACCCUGCCCCCCAUCACCCAACUUCCUGUGUCUGUUUGCCCUGGGUGCAGGAGCUUUGACCGCCCAACGGGGCCAGCAUGACCACUUUGCUGAUUUUUUUUCCCUAGAAGGCUGUGUCUGGGGAGGGGACCGAAGGCAAGCUGACAGGAGGGGGAUGGAAAAGGACACAAAGCUCUGUGAAUUGUCUGCGGCUAUGGUUGAGUUCCAAAAUGAGUCUCUGCUCCUAGCUCACCUUGCUCUCCCCACUCCCUCCACCCCCAUGAUAUCCACAAAAGCUGGGGCAGGCAGGGCAGAAGCAGGAGUCCUUAAAGCUCUGCUGUGCCCCACCUCCCCAAGGGGCCAAGUCCUUGCCAGUGCUGUGGUCCAGGCCUUAGCCAGUCAAACCAGAUGCUGGCCAUAAAAGAGCCAAUCAGGGCCACGCAGUGUAUCUCUUAAAAUCAGCUGUGUCCCCAAAUUAUUAAACUAGCCAACACCAAAGGAGUCCCUUAGAAUCUCUCCUCCCUAGGUGCCCUAUUCACUAGACACUUCCCUCAUCUCUCCAUUCACACUGAUGUUUGAGAAAAUUCAGGAAGGUUUUCCCAAAGGCUGAUGCGUUCAAGGUGCAGAUCAUGAGCCCCCUCCAAAGACUGGGCUCUAAGGAGUAGAGUUCUUUGUUGUAGACAUAUGGGCUCCAGAUGGGAGAGCUUUCCCAGUGUCGAGACUCAAGUAGGGAAUAAGAAAGACAGUCCAACAGGAUGGUCCCAAUGGAAGGAACCAGCCAGGGCUCCUUGGAAUGGUCAAGCCAAAAAAAGAGGUGUUGGUUUUCUACAUUCUAGCUUGGAAGCUCCAGCUGUGGUAUAUGAUCCAUUGGCUGACCUGUUUUUUUGGCCUAUGCUUAUGAAAAAAUACAUUAGUUGUUACCGUGUCAUCUGUGGGAGAGUUCAUUUAAAAUGUCCAGCUUCUCUUGAAAAUUUGGAAGCUCUGGCCACACUGGGCCCAUAUUCCCAAGGGCAACUGUUGGCCAGAGCUGAGCAGCUGCCCACUUCCUUACCCAGGGAUGUGCAUUCUGGCUCACUAGGGUUUCCACUUGGUGGAAAUUUUUCUUUCUGCUUCUCCAUUCACAGUCCCUCCUGGCCCUUGAAGGCAUUCCAGUUUGAAAGCCCUGUUCUAACUCUUAGAAGUGAUCUUGUAGGAGGUGGUAGGAACCUACUAAUUGGUCCUCGGACCAGUGGUGCACCCUAUCCUGGAUGCACCAUCCUUCGAACAAAGAUCAAGGAUGAAAACUUGCCUUUGUGUCAGCUUUAGAAAAAAACAGGUCAAAGAGGAAAACCUGCGGAAACCUUUAUUCUGUUAAGUACUAUUACUAACAUUAGUCCCUGUUUAUUGAGGACCCUCUAAAUGCCUGUGACGGGCACAGUGGAUCCAGUAUUUCUGCUUCUCACAGCAUCUGUGAAGAGAGGACGGUUAUGCCUUCUUUAGAGAUGAGGAAAUGGGCUCAGAGAGGUGACGUGACUUGGUAGGAUUUGGCAGAAUUAUUGUCCCAGUAGCACACGGUAGAUGGGCAGCUCUGCGUUCCUUGGGCUCAAGGGAGGGGCGGGGGUUGGAGGGCCAGUUCUGUUUCACGUUGGAGAGCUGACAAAGCCAGAGGCACCCAUGGCUGGCUGCGUCUCACGAGACGCAGACAUGCAUAUGCACGCAUAGCUCGGUCCCUGUAGCUUUAGCUGGGGGGAGGAGAGGACCUGAGAUCUCUGAACAUUCCAGGGGCCAGUCUCUGCUCAGAGCAGCACCAGGGCUUGGGGGCUUCCCUGGCCCCCAGCCUCCAGGCGCCCCCAGGAUUCCCAGACAGACACUGUGAUUGGCAGGAGGCAGGGUAUCCCCAGGGAAACCCAUCUUCACGCCUGGGUGACCCCCGCUGCCGCCUCCUUCUUAACUCUGCGGGAAAUCAGGGUUGGCAGCCUUCUGUGGGAGGAUGGAGCCUGUUUCCAUGGCAACCGUAGCUGCCUCCUCCUGGCUUGGAAGGGAAGGAAGAAGGCUGGCAGAAAUAGAUGCAGGAAGAUCUCGUCGAGCAGGGCUGUACCCCGGUGUGUGGGGGGAAAAGCCCUUAUGACUUUGCCCCCCUCCAAAUCAGGGCUGCCCUGUCACUGGGACUAGGUUCUCACCCAUGUUCCCUAAAAGGCCAAUUCCUCUAAAAGGUGGCACCUCCUUGGAACCACAGACAUUAGGAAGAGAUGGUUCUCCCACCAGGCAGCCCCAGCUGGUACCAGAGAUCUUGAAGAAGAGCUUGGGGGGACAAUGCCUUAAACCCUCCCUUGUUUUAAUCUUUCUUUUUUCCUUUCCCCCAACCACCCUUUUCUUCUUUAAAAAAAAAAAAAUCAAUAUAAGGUAUAGAGUAAAGAGGGAAAGAUGAGUGUGUUAGCUCCUUGCUGCAGGUUAGUUAAGAAGGUACCCGGAUAUCGUUGUAUUUCUUCAUACUUUGCUUUAGAACCACAAAAUUGCAGGACACAUGUCAGAAAUGCUCUUAGGUCAACCCAAUGAAGUGUUUCCUCUCCGUCAGCAUUAUUGUUAUUUUGUUUGUGCUCUAUUUCGUAUUGUUGUUUACCAGGUAUUUUCUUUUAAAACAGACUCAUUCUUUAAACUUUAAACUUUUAAAGGGGAACUUUAUUCCACUGCUGCCAUUAAGGGACAACAUGUAUCACUCGCUGCCAAAAAUAGAAAGUGGCUGUGAAAAAUACAUUUGCUGGGGGAGGGCCUCCGGGCCCCUGUCGCCAAGGCUCAGAGCCUGAGCUCUGUCUCGGCUCUGUUACAAAAUGAGACAAGCAAGCAAUGCAGGGGCGGUUAGAGCCAGGGCAGCACCACCUCGAGACUUUCGAGACUUUCUCCUUGACCGUCUGGGGCAGGAGGAGGAGUAAGCUGCUCAGCGCAAGUCGGAGCUCCUGCCUGGCCGGCCCCGCCCACGGUGAGCUGGGGACGGCCCACCUGCCCAUCCUCCGGAUGGAGAAACAGGCUCUAGGAGUUGAAGUGUCUUGCUAAAGUCCUUGAUCUUGGUGUGUGUGUAUGUGUGUGUUAGUAAACACAGUGUUUGGGGAGUAGCAAUGAUUAUUAUGCCUUGCUGUUUUAAUAAAGAAUUCUAUUUUCAUAUAAUCUUGUUGAGCGGAAAUGUGCUGAAAUGUAUUAAACCAUCCUUGUUUAUGGAA